rnacentral:rRNA from 1 species
GUUUGAUUUGAUGUUAGGAGGGCAAAUCCGCCGAAUUUAAGCAUAUAAUUAAGCGGAAGAAAAGAAAAUAACUAUGAUUCCUUUAGUAACGGCGAGUGAACAAGGACCAGCUCAAACGGUUAAUCCUUCGUUUGGUGCAAACCUUACGACGGAAUUGUCGUUGAAUUAUUCCAUGGAUGCCUUUAAUUUGAGCAAAGUGAGCAGGAAAGCUUCCCCACAGCGGGUGAAAGGCCCAUAGUUCUUUUUAAUUUAUUCAUUGGAAUUUUUCAUGUCGAGUCGUGUUCUUUGAGAUUGGAGCACAAAUACGUGUGAUACAUUUCACAUAAAGCUAAAUAUGUGUAGGAGACCGAUAGCAAACAAGUACCGUGAGGGAAAGAUGAAAUAGUACUCAGGAAUGAGCAAUUAAAUAGUACCUGAAAUCGUUAAGAUGGAACGGAUUAAGAGAGAAAACAAGUAAAGAGGGGAAUUUUUACAUUUUUUUGUUUUAAUUCUCUUCUUUAUUAAAAGAAACAUCAGCGAUAUAAUUUAAUUUCAAUAAAGCAAUCCCCUGAAAUUCAAAAUUUCUUUUAAUUUUGUUUUCACUUUAUCCCCGCACUAAUGGGGGGAAAACUGGCUUUAUUUCUUCAAUUAUUUUUAUUGCUGAGGAAUUUUAAAAUUAUAUGAAUUUUUCUUCUUAUAAUUUAAGUUGUUUCUAUACAGUACUUUCUUAACCCACUCGUCUUGAAACACGGACCAAGGAGUCUAGCAAAUGUGCAAGUGUAUAUGAUUCUUUAAACAUUUAAAUUUUUUUUAAAUAUACGCAUAAUUAAUGUAAUAUGUUUUCUUAUUGUAGAUUUGUGGUGAUUUAUUUCAUAAAUCCCCACUUUGCAUACAAUACCGUUAAGCAAUUAUGCUUUAUUGAGUACGAGCAUAUUUGGUAGGACCCGAGAGGCUUUGAACUAAGCGUGGUGAGAUUGAAGUCAGACGAAAGUCUGAUGGAGGAUCGAGUUGAUACUGACGUGCAAAUCGUUCAUUUCAAUCACGUUUAGGGGCGAAAGACUAAUCGAAAAGCCUAUUAGCUGGUUAUUUUCGAAAGAUCUCUCAGGAUCGCUGGAGUUGAUUAAUAUAAUUUUACCAGGUAGAGAUAAUGAUUAGAGGAAUCAGGGAAAUCGUUUUCCUUGACCUAUUCUCAAACUCCCAAUAGGUAAAAAGGGUAAAAUAACUCAACUGUAUUUUACUCAUAUUAAAUAAAAUAACUCCAAGUGGGCCAUUUUUGGUAAGCAGAACUGGCGAUGAGGGAUGCUCCUAACGCUUGGAUAAGGUGCCUAAAUAUUCGCUCAUGAGAUCCCAUAAAAGGUGUUGGUUCAUAAUGACAGUAGGACGGUGGUCAUGGAAGUCGAAAUCCGCUAAGGAGUGUGUAACAACUCACCUACCGAAUGAACUAGCCCUGAAAAUGGAUGGCGCUAAAGCGGAUUACCGAUACCAAGCCAUAAAAAGAGAAGAAAAAAAAUUAUUUUUUUUUUUAGAAUCUUUUUAUGAGUAGAAAAUCGUGGGGUUUGUGUUGAAGCGAAAUACGUGAGUUUUCGUGGAAAAAAAAAAAAAAAAAAAAAAAAAGGAAGUAGCAACUAUUCAAAUGAGAACUUUGAAGACUGAAGUGGAGAAGGGUUUCUUGUCAACUGUGAUUGAACAAGAGUUAGCCGCUCCUAAGGGAUAGCUGAAAAGUGUUUAAAAGGGGUUAAUUCUCCGUCUCAAAAGGGAAACAGGUUGAUAUUCCUGUGCCAUUAGUAUUAAGAGUUCUAGAGAUGGUAACAUAUAUAUAAAUGAACUCCUUUACAUAGGCUUUACACUCGGGGUGCGUUUUCUUUGCACUUUACCUUUAUAACAAACCUUGGAAUCAAUUUACUUGGAGAAGAGGUUCGUUGAACUCAAUUCAAAAAAUUUAUGUCUGGGUUUUCGGAUUCAGUUCAUAUUUUUUCUGUUUUGUAGCAAUAGUAAUUCGUUUUUAUGAAUUAUCCGAAGUGGUAAGGACUAUCCUUGAAAAAAGGAGGGAACGGCUCUGUAAUCUGGAAUUCUCGGAUUCCAUUUUGCUUUGCUAUGCUCUUAAUACUUGUACGAGCGUACCAACAACCGCAUCAGGUCUCCAAGGUUAACAGCCUCUGGUUAAAUAGAAAAAAGUAGGUAAGGGAAGUCGGCAAAAUAGAUCCGUAACUUCGGGAAAAGGAUUGGCUCUGAGGACAUUAGAAAAGAGAAGAAAAAAAGAGGGUUGAAAAUAAAAUUGCAGACUUAUUUGCUUAUCUUUUCGAUUUGCUUGUAAUCUGCUUUUUCUUUUUCUUCUUUCCUUUUUUCUCCCCCUCUUUUCGCCUUCAUUUUAUUAUAAUUUAUUAUAAUAUUUUGAUACUUAUAAUGUUAACUCAGAACUGAAACGGACAAGGGGAAUCCGACUGUUUAAUUAAAACAUAGCAUUGUGAAAAGCCACAACUGGUAUUAACACAAUGUGAUUUCUGCCCAGUGCUUUGAAUGUCAACUUGAUGAAAUUCAAUCAAGCGCAGGUAAACGGCGGGAGUAACUAUGACUCUCUUAAGGUAGCCAAAUGCCUCGUCANNNNNNNNNNNNNNNNNNNNNNNNNNNNNNNNNNNNNNNNNNNNNNNNNNNNNNNNNNNNNNNNNNNNNNNNNNNNNNNNNNNNNNNNNNNNNNNNNNNUUUUACCCUACUGAUGAAUAUAAUUAUAUUUUUAUAUAUAUAUAGUAUUGUGACAGUAAUCCAACUUGGUACGAGAGGAUUAGUUGGUUCAGACAAUUGGUACAGCAAUUGGUUGACAAACCAGUGUUGCGAAGCUAAGUCUGUUGGAUAAUGGCUGAACGCCUCUUAAGCCAGAAACCAUGCUGAUUAAACAAUACUAUUUCGUUCUUUUUUGUUUCCUUUUUUACUGCUAAUGUAAAAGAGAAAUUAUAUAUGUACCUACUUUUGGUGCAUAAAUAAUCCUAUCACCUUUUUCGUGAGCUGUGAGCUGUGAGCUAGGCAAUAGUUCUUUAACAACAAAAAAGAAUUGCACAAACUGUAGACGACUUUUUUGCCUCAGGGUGCUGUAAACAUGAAAGUAAACUUUGUUUUACGAUCUGUUGAGGCUUAUCCCUAGUGGUAAAGUGUUUUUUGAAACAUAUAAUAGUAUAUAAAUAUGUCUUGCCGUAUUUUUAUAUUAUUAUAUAAUUAUAGAAAUAUUUUAUAAAAUAUUUAUUAUGUAUAGUAUAUUGAUUUUUAUACUUUAUAUGAUUUAUAUUUUAUAAAAAUAAUAACAAUUUUAAAAUAUCAAAAAUUUUUUUAUAUGAAUGGAAUUUUUUCUAAGUAAUAUUUUUAUCUUAUGUUCAAUUGUAUUAAUAUAAUUGCAGAAGCUAUAAAUAUUAUUUAUUAUAUAAAUUCCAAUUUUUAUUUAUAUUUUAAGUAUAUUAUUUUAUAUUCAUAUAUUAUAUAUAUGUUUUUAUUAAUUAUAAUAAAGAAUAUGUUAUAUGAAUAAAAGUAAUAAUACUGAAAAGAACAAUUUUUAAUAAAUCAAUUUUUACUGAUUUUUUAAGUACAUAAUAUAGUUAUUUUUUUUUUUGAAAAUUUCUU